ACAUCUGAAGUUUCCCCCGCUCCAUCACCAACACUCAUUUCCCUUACCACCUGAUAAUUUUUCACUGUUAUUUUAUCUGCACCAAAUGUUUCUUCUUCUUCCUCUCUUCUCUCUCUCUCUCUCUCUCUCUCUCUCUCUCUCUCUCUCUCUAUCACUCUCUCUCACAAUCUCUCCUCCUUUUGUAAUAUUGGUUUCAAAAUUUGACACAAGGCCAGCAACUUCUGGGAGGUUGUAGGUCGAUUACAUCGGCAUGAAAGGCAAAGUCGACCUCGGUGGAGUUUGAACUCAGAACGUGGAAACGGACGAAAUGCCGCUAUGCAUUUAGUCCGGCGUACCAACGAUUGUCAGAUCGCCGCCUUACCUCCCUUUUAAUAUUAUUAUAAUUAAGGCAGUAAAUAGGCAGAAUUGUUGGACAGCAGACAGCACUCCUUGUGGUAUAUUUUCUAAAUCCUAUAAGUUCUGAGUUCAGAUCUCACCAUGUUCAACUUUGUCUUUUAUCCUCCUGGAUCCAAUAAAAUGCAACGAUUCAAGUAUCGGGUUGAUGGUAUCCACUAAAACUUAAGGCGGCGAGCUGGCAGAAAGGUUAGCGCGCCGGGCGAAAUGCUUAGUGGUAUUUCGUCUGCCGUUACGUUCUGAGUUCAAAUUCCGCCGAGAUCAACUUUGCUCUUCAUCCUUUCGGGGUCGAUAAAUUAAGUAUCAGUUACGCACUGGGUUUGUCUGUCCUUGUUGUCCCCUCUAUGUUUAGCCCCUUAUGGGUAGUAAAGAAAUAGGUAUCGAUUAAAACCCCUUCCCUCAAAUUUGAUGGGUUUACGCCUAAAUUAAAAGCCACUGUUAUUGUCUUCGGGUCUGAGCACCACGAUUCUUUGCUUCUCUGUAUAACUGUCAUUGUUAUUGUCAUUUUUGUUACAUUUUGUUGCUAUUGAGCGUUUUGCAGUGGGAAAAUCCAGGAGAAGACGGAUAGAAAAGGGAUCGGUAAUUCAUUUCUGUUCCUUGCAGGAAUCAAAUUCGUUGAGUAUUUAUAUUUUUUCUGUCGAAAAAUUCUGAAUACUUAAAUAAAAUGCUCCCCAAAACAUGGCGUCGAAUAUAAUUGUGAACGAGGAAGUAUCAUAAAGUGGUGUUAGUGGGUAUUCUAAAAAGAGGGUCUCUUCCAAUAGAUGAAAGUAUGGAAGGGUUGGCAUGAGCGACAAACCUUCUCGCCAAAAUUACUGCUUCUCCUUAAUUGCAGUCGUAACAACCAAAAAACAGCCACUCUCACCCCCACCACCGACAACAACAACAACAACAAUAGCGAAAACAGUGAAAACCACCACCACCACCAACACUACCACUACCAUACCAGAUGGUAUUUAGAAGAGGUAAAUGUUCUAGUAACAAGACAUUGUUGUACUGAAUAGAGAGACAGGAGCUGCAGGAGGCGCAAUGGCCCAGUGGUUAGGACAGCGGACUCGCGGUCGGAGGAUCGCGGUUUCGAUUCCCAGACCGGGCGUUGCGUGUGUUUAUUGAGCGAAAACACCUAAAGCUCCACGAGGCUCCGGCAGGGGGUGGUGGCGACCCCUGUUGUACUCUUUCUUCCUGUUUCUUGUCCCCGACUUCCUACGCAACCGCUGAGCCUGGAUGCGCAUUCAUCCAUCCGUCGAUGCUCUCGGUGUCGGUGAGGGGGGGGGGGGUGACCUGCUUUCUCUUCUGCGGGUCUUACGAAUAGCAAAGGACCACGAUUCGGACUUCUCCCACUAAUGGGACGAAGACCGCUUCGCUCAACAAACAAACAAACAGGAGCAGCAAUCAUUGAUCGUAUUGAAGAACAUAAGAAAUUAAGAAAAAUGGGUGGUGCAUCUCAUGAAAAUCAUGUUUGGGGCGGAGUGGCAUCAGAGGAAUUGACAUGUUGCUGAUUCUCAAAGAAUGAAUGAGGGCUCAAUAUUCUCCUAUAAGGUUAUUUCGAAAAGGUCUAUCACGAUGUGUGACAGGAGGUUUACUACAUGGGCAAUGUGAAGAGUAUCGUACGAUAAACUUAUCUCCUCAUAAUGUACAGAUUAGACAUUGCUGUAUGAUUAAGAAGUUCACUUCCAAUUACGUAGCUUCGGGUUCAGUCCAAUCGUAAAGCACUUAGGGUGAGUGUCUUGUACUACAGACCCAGGUUAACCAAUGACUUCUGAGUGAAUUUAAUGGAAAGAAACUGUUUGGAAGCCCCUCAUAUGUGUACGUGUCUGCAUUUUUGUGUUUGUCAUUACUGCUUGGAAACUGGUGGGCUUUGUUUAUGUUCCCUGUAGCAUAGCAGUUUCGCAAAAAGAAACUGAUAGAAUAAAUACCAGGCUUUAAAAUAAACAAUGAAAAGGGAAAAGGCGAGAAGACAGUCGGCACUCUUGCGAUAUUUGAAACCCAUAAGUUUUCAGAUAUGAGAUAAAGAAAUGUGGUGUGGACGAGGAUGUGGACUCGUGGAUGAUUUUAACGUCUGCAGGAAACGGGGAAAUUGGAGGAGAUCGCCCUGUUCUUACACUGGGAAACUGCUUGUGUUGCGCCGAUCUUCCUUUGUCAUCAUUGGCUGUUAUGCUUUUGUAGUGUCGUGUGAUGCCACCGGAUUCUAUGAGUAUGGCUCUGUAUACCACGGCCUUUGAGAGACAGUGACCUCCCAAUGGGCAAGAAAAUACAACUAACUAUUUUUUUUAUUUCUCUCUCUGCUGCAACAAUGAUAGGAUUUCAGACUUGAUGCUUGAGUGUUCAUGGCUUGGGUGGGGACUUUAAGCAGGACCACCUACUCAAUGACCUCAGGUCACAUCAUUAAUAUGUCAGAGCCAUCAAUAAAGCUAAGGCUUUUGCAGUUAUGGCUGAAAACAAGGUGUAUGCUUCCAGAAAUUUCUUGACCUGGCAGUGAUCAUGAUUCAAGAAAAGCUUUGCAAAACCAGAAGUACAGUCAGUAUGAUUUGUCCAGAGUGUUCUGAGAGCCACGGAACCGAUUUUACGCCGUCGUCAAGUAUCCAAAAUUACUGUCCCGUGGAAAUACAUCGAAUGGUCGUUAUGCAUGCUGGGUGGAUCCGGCUAUGAGCCGAUUCUCAUGCUAAGGGCGCUCAACCGACUUCUUUUUGAACGCAUAUGAAAGUAUCGAAGACAGAACUGUAUAUCGUCAAUGAAACCCUCAUCAAUUUCUCGAAGAGAGUUUCCAAAUGAAAGAUCGCCCUGUUCUUACACCUGAGAAAAUGCUUGUGUUGCGUUAAUCUUACUCCGACAUCAUUAGUCGUUGGUUAAGCCCCUUAGUGUCUAGUGAUACCACCAGAUCAUAUACUCAUAUGAUCUGGUGGCAUCACUAGACACUACAGGGGCUUAACAACCAACGAUGUCGUAGAACAUUGCCUUUAAGAGACAAGGACCUCCCAGUGGCCAAUUGGUCGGAUUCUGAAUGUUACAAGUUGGGGUGUUGUACGUAAGGACACAGAAAACUUCACCUUCCCAUCCUGCUUCGUUUGGUAACUCCAAGACCAUCGAAAUUAUUUAUCCAACAUAAUAUGGAAAAUACACAAGCAAGCACACAAGUGUGCAUGACUCUCUCUCUCUCUCUCUCUCUCUCUCUCUCUUUGUAUAUAUAUAUUCAUACACACACACACAAAUAUAUAUAUACGAUGGGCUUCUUUCAGUUUCCGUCUGCCAAAUCCAUUCACAAGGCUGGACUCGAUAUCAUAUGGUUGGGAAGCAAGCUUCUUACAACACAGCCACACUGCACCUAUAUAUAUAUAUGUGUGUGUGUGUGUGUGUGUGUGUAGUACAAAGUAAGAUAGGGGUUAUGGGUGUAACCCACUAUGGGAUAUCAUUUAUCCAAUAUACAGUUGGUAAAGUACCCAAAUUCUUAAAACAUAAAUGUUUUUAAUUGCAAUGCAAUUAAUUCAUUUAUAGUAUUAAACGAGUAAAGGUAAAGAAAUAUUUUUACCGUAAAUUUAUAAUACAAAUAAGAAAAUGGAAAAACAAAUUUGGUUUGUUCAUCAACUUACGGAUAUUAUAAUGUUGGAUUAUUUAUUCAUUCUACAAAUGAAAACAUCAAAAGCAUACAAAGAUAUUAUAUAAAUCAAUAGAUAAGGUAAUAAUACAAAUACAGAUUUUAAAAGUCAUAUUAUAAAUUAAUUAAAUCCUAAAAGUUAUUUCUUACAGCUGUUUCAGCCUAUGGUCAAAAGUAAAUAUAAUUUUCAUUGCCUAUAGAUGUCAACUUACGAAGGUUGUAGGCAUUUAAAAAUAAUAUUUAUAUGUUAAAAAAACCAUAGGCCUUGUCAGAGGUUAUAAUUAACAUAAAUACAUACAUACAUACAUACAUAAAUACAUACAUACACACACACAUACGCAUACACACACAUAUAUAUAUAUAUACAUACACGCAUGCAGACAUACAUACAUCCAUACAUACAUACAAACAUACAUACAAACAUACAUACAAACAUACAUACAUGCAUACAUACAUACAUACAUACAUACAUACAUACAUACAUACAAACAUACAUACAAACAUACAUACAAACAUACAUGCAUACAUACAUACAUGUAUACACACACACAUACAUACAUACAUACAUACAUACAUACAUGCAUACACACACACACAUGCAUACAUACAUACAUACAUACAAACAUACAUACAUACAUACAUACAUACAUACAUACAUACAUACAUACAUACAAACAUACAUACAUACAUACAUACAUACAUGCAUACAUACAUACAUACAUACAUACAAACAUACAUGCAUACAUACAUACAUACAUACAUACAAACAUACAUACACAUAUAUACAUACAAACAUACAUACAAACAUACAUACAUGCAUACAUACAUACAUACAUACAAACAUACAUACAAACAUACAUACAAACAUACAUGCAUACAUACAUGCAUACACACACACAUACAUACAUACAUACAUACAUGCAUACACACACAUGCAUACAUACAUACAUACAUACAUACAUACAUACAAACAUACAUGUAUACAUACAUACAUACAUACAAACAUACAUACAUGGAUACAUACAUACAUGCAUACAUACAUACAUACAUACAUACAUACAAACAUACAUACACAUAUACAUACAUACAAACAUACAUACAUGCAUACAUUCAUACAUACAUACAUGCAUACAUUCAUACAUACAUACAUACAUACAUACAUACAUACAUACAUACAUACAUACAUACAUACAUACGUACAUACGCACGGACGGACGGCGGGACGGACAUACAAAAUUUUAGAACUUAAAUAAGUCCGACAGGUUUUGGCCGUUGUCGGCCUAAGCCAUGUCUGAUUCAAUAACACCACCUGUGGUGGUCUUUUUAAGUUUUAAGACAUCAUAAGUCACUCGAGUAGGCAGUUGCUUACUGAGAUGUACCCAAGGGUCGAUGGUUUGGCAAGUGUUUAUCGGUGGAAUUUGUCCUGCUACUGUUUGAAUGUUACGGGGGUCUUCUUUUUCUUUGAUUUCCUUCAGAAUAAUGUUGGAUAUGGUAGGACCAGUUGAGGUAAAUAAAGGUCGUGCUGCAAUGAAACAUAAUUCUGGGACCAAACCUUCGGUGGCUUGUGAACUCGAUACAGGUAUCGCUUGGACUGUGUUAGGAUAGUUUUCACAUUGUAGAAAUGAUGCAGCGCUUACGUCGGCGUUGGGGAGAAUGAAGUCUGAGAUUUUUGAGACGAUCUACGGCGCCCUCCAUUGGUCAGUUAAAGUUGAGACAGUGUCACGUGACAACUUACUGGGGCUGCCUGCUGGAGCCUAGCAGCAGGUAUUUAAAGGGAAAUUUGACAAGACAGGUAGUCGCCCGCUGACACUCGUUGACGCUACAUCGAAGAGGCCAGGGAAUAGAAGAAAAAAAAGGAGAAAGACAUGCACCCAACACCAGAGCUGAAGACGCCUCCGAAGGGGGGGGGGGGCACGUCAAAACGGUAGAGGAUUAGGGGCCGAAACCGGACGUUGUUCCUCCUGAUGAUGUCUUGAGCUAACUGGAUCCCAUAAAGGAGCUGUUGUGGUAGCAGACCACGAAACACAGUUGUAAUUCCUCAGCUGGCCAUAGCAUUUAUUUAUAUGCUUAUUUGUGGUCGAUCUUUGAGGUCUUCAAUACUGAAAAUAUUUUGUUUUGUAUACGGACCAAAGGAUGCAGCAAAUAUUCAAGGUGAAACCUAGUAAACUUUAAGAAGAAAAGACUGGCUUCAGGGUUUUAGGAGUGGAAAAUUCUAAAGAUCCAUGAGCACAUUCUUCGAGCCAUACCAACUUUAUUUUUGUAUGUGCUCUCCAGCUUAGGUUGUUGAUCAAAGUUAUUCCUAAGAUCUGAGAUCCGACGCACCACCAAAGUACGGAUCUACCAGGCACUAGUGCAAACGAUUCUCCUUUACGGCAGCGAUUCAUGGCCAAUGAGGGUGGAAGAUAUUGAGCGACUAGAAUCCUUCGAUCACCUCUGUCUACGCCGCAUCCUUCGUGUCCGAUGGCAUCACUUUGCCUCCAACAAUUCGGUGCGACACCAGUGCAGAAUCACCUCCCUCCGACAAGUCAUCCUAACGAGACGUCUGUGUUGGCUGGGUCAUGCCCUCCGUCUUUAACCAGGAGAAUUCAUUCACGAAGCAAUUGCCCCAGCCCCCCUUCUGGGUUGGCGAAAGCAAUGUGGUGGACAACGAAAAACCUGGCUGAUGACGGUCAAGGCUGAUCUGGAACCCAACCUAUCUACGGCGUUCGCCGCUGGAAUAAGGAGUGGUUGGAGAUCGCGCGGUCGUUAGCCUCAAAUCGCCAUGCCUGGUCGGCGUUUGUGAGAGAUGCAGCAUUGAGGAUGAAUGAAGCCAGCUCAACCCACCCCGGGUGAAUGCUGUCUCAAGUCAAGUCAAGUAAUUCUCUGAUAUCCUUAAAUGCUAUAAAGAGCUACGUAGACUAGAGGAACAUGAAAUGAAGUGCCUUGAUGAAGGACAAAACGCGUGGCCCGGUCCAAGAGUUGGAGCCAUUAUCUGAUGAUCGUGGGCCGAACACUCUAAGCCGUAAAUAAAUACAUGCGAGUGUGCGUGUGCAAUACUACAUGAGUAUAUUCUUUUUACUUAGCUUUUAAAGGUUCCAUGUAUUAAAGAUAUAACGCUAACAAGCCACAUGUUUUCCAUUUUAUGUGUGUGCAUGUGUAUGAGUGUUUGCAUGUAUAUGUCUCCGUGUGAGUAUAUGUGUGUGCGUGCGUGCAACUGUUAUUUGCGUCAUUGCAUACUCAAAUGCGUAACAUCUCUGUAUUUUCUUUCUGCAUUUGUCUCUCCCUGUCUCCAGCCUUUUCUCUCCUUCCCUCUCUUUCAUCUUCUCCCACGCUCUAUUUUCUAUAUCCCUGAGGACUUCCUGCUUCUGUGAGUGUGCAUAAAUAUUUGUGGAAACAUAUGGUACAUAUCUAGCAGCCUACAACUAUCAACUUACCUACAAGCUUAUCUAUCUUCCCUGUCUGUCUGUCUGUCUCUCUUAUACUCUUAUAUGUACAUACAUACAUUAUGGUUACCCCCUCGUUAUCGAGUAUGACCAUUGCACGAAGUUUACAUACAUACAUACAUAUAUAUAUAUACAUAUAUAUAUAUAUAUAUACAUAUAUAUAUAUAUGUAUAUAUAUCUAUCUAUUAUAUAUAUAUAUAUAUAUAUAUAUAUAUAUAUAUAUAUAUAUAUAUAUAUAUAUAUAUAUAUAUAUAUAUAAUAUAUAUAUGUAUAUAUAUAUAUAUAUAUAUGUAUGUAUGUGUGUGUGUUUGUGUUUGUCCCCCUAGCAUUGCUUGACAACCGAUGCUGGUGUGUUUAUGUCCCCGUUACUUAGCGGUUCGGCAAAAGAGACCGAUAGAAUAAGUACUGGGCUUACAAAAGAAUAAGUCCCGGGGUCGAGUUGCUCGAUUAAAGGCGGUGCUCCAGCAUGGCCGCAGUCAAAUGACUGAAACAAGUAAAAGAGUAAAAGAGUAUAUAUAUAUAUAUGCGUAUUGUGAGAAGAAGCCUAUGAGACGGAAGGAUAGACAAACAUAUAUAGACACACAAACACUCUGACCUCAACACAUGCAUACACAUACCCACCCGUGCACACGCACGCAUACACACACACUCAGACUUCUAUGCAUAAACGUAUAAAUGCGUACGCGGCCCCAUUUCCAUGUACAUUAUGGCUAAUAAACGCCAAUCAAUGACAAUGAGAAGUUAUUUUUGGAUCAAAGGAGACUAGAAAUUAUGGAAUUAUUGAUUCACUUUGCUCUCAGAUUCACCAAGAUAUAACCCAAACAUGUAUGUGUGUGUCGGUCGGUCAUUGGAAAUUAUAUCAAUGACUUUUAUACAAUUAUUGAAUGAACGUGAAUAUUUUGGUAACGCUUCUCUCUCAUUCAAACAUUUUUCUUAGAUGCUAAACUUAGCUUGAAAUACAAUAUUAUUUGCAAGCAGCCGAUCGUAGUAGUUUAAAUAAAUCAUAUUGUGUGAUACAGUAGAAUCACUGAAAGCUAGCAAUGGUCUACAUCGGCAAAUAGUAAAUACAAAACGUUUAAAUAGUGGAACGCUUUUGUAUUUAUAAAUCAUAACAUAUUGUAAGUUAUCUUGCAGAACGGUUUCCUUGGUCUUAGAACAUAGGAAGAAAACAUAGACGGUGGCAAAAACAAAUGAAUUAGUAAAUAAAACAAAUAAAAUGAUAUUAAUUGUUCACAGGCUACAGAAAUGCUAUAAAUCAAUGAGAAUUCACCAGUACAAUUCAGCACAGUAAAAUAGGAUACCAUACAAAUCGACAUAUAUACAUUUAUAUAUGUACGCAUACGUAGGUGAACGAAUACAUUGAUAUAAGUUUGCGUUCAUCAUGCUCCUAAAUUCUUACGGCCUAUUUACAUACAAAGAAUCUUCGGCUGAAGAUGGAACAGCAACCUCUUGGGUAUUCUUUGAAGAAUACACUUAUCGUAAUAAAGAACUUUUUUUAUGGCUCGCCUAAUGGAAAAAAAAUCUCCUGGUACGUGACAUAAAAGAUGAGAAGGAAAGUAUUCUUCUAUGAAAAAGGUGGGGGAGGGCUCAAUGAGUUGACUCUUAAUAAAUUUACUUUCAAAGCUUGUAAAUGUUUCUCACAGAACAAAUCACGAAAAAAGUUUCAAUCUGAUCAUUUACCCUUUUACUCUUUUACUUGUUUCAAUCAUUUGACUGAGGCCAUGCUGGAGCACCGCCUUUAGUCGAAUCAAAUCAACACCAGGACUUAUUCUUUGUAAGCUUAGUAUUUAUUCUAUCGGUCUCUUUUGCCGAACCGCUAAGUUAUGAGGACGUAAACACACCAGCAUCGGUUGUCAAGCGAUGUUGGGGGGACAAACACUGACACACAAACACACUCACAUACAUGUAUAUAUAUAUAUAUAUAUAUAUAUAUAUAUAUAUAUAUAUAUAUAUAUAUAUAUAUAUAUAUAUAUAUAUAGUAUUAUUAGUGAAUUGAAGAAAUGGAGUUGAACGAAGAUUGAACAGAACUCCUUUUAUUGCAUUCUACACAUGUUUCAAAAGCCACAAUUUUCAAAUUCUGAUUAAAUAAGGAUCCCAUAUUGCGGCUUUCUCUUCAGGAAAAAAAUAGGAAUUCCGUUGGCAGAACAAAACAGAACAGAGGCGCAGCAAAGCAAUUUGAACGAGGCGGCUCUUUAAGACCUGGGUGAACUCUUCUUCUGCCGUGAUUUUUGCUACCAAGGUAUCGGUUAAACUUUUGAUUAAUGCAACAAGAUUAUUCAUCUUUCUAUUUUAUAUAUAUAUAUAUAUAUAUAUAUAUAUAUAUAUAUAUAUAUAUACAUAUAUAUAUAUAUAUAUAUAUAUACAUAUAUAUAUAUAUAUACGACGGGCUUCUUUCAGUUUCCGUCUACCAAAUCCACUCACAAGUCUUUGGUCGGCCCGAGGCUAUAGUAGAAGACACUUGCCCAAGGUGCCACGCAGUGGGACUGAACCCGGAACCAUGUGGUUGGUAAGCAAGCUACUUGCCACACAGCCACUCCUGCGCCUAUAAGAUCUGCAGUGAAAGAUUAAAAGACAUAAAUACAGCAACUUCCAAAACUUCCUAUUCUGGAAUGUGAAAGCAAUUAGAAAAUCCAACUGCGCGCUUUUACUCAAUGAUAGUUAUACAAAAGUUAUAAUUUAUCUUUUCCUUGUUUCAGUCAUUAGACUUCGGCCAUGCUGGAGUACCGUCUUGAAGAAUAAUUUUUAGUCGAAUAAAUCGAUUCCAGUACUUUUCUCUUCAAACCCAGUACUAAUUGGAUUUUUUGCCAAACCGCUAAGUUACAGGUACAUAAACCGCAUCAACAUCGAUUGUCAAGCAGUGUGGCAGGGACAGAUACAAACACAAAGACAGACAAAUAGACAGAUAUGAUAUAAUACGAGGUUCUUUCAGUUUCCGUCUACCAAAUCCACUUUGGCCGACCCGAAGCUAGAGUAGAAGACACUUGCCCAUGAUGCUAUGCAGUAGGACUGAACCGGGAACCAUGUGGUUGGGAAGCUGGCUUCUUACCACAGAGUCCCAAAAUUUUCGCUAACAAGUUCAGGAACAUUUACAAACGCAAAAGACGUAAACAUGCAACACAUUAAGAAAGAAGCCCAAACACUUGCAAUCCAGCGAAAGAAAUAACUCGACAGAGAGCUGCAUAUUGCUAAGUGUAAAUAUAUCUUAAGAAUAAUUAACCCAGCUAAAUAUACUUGCGACAUUGAGUAAUUAACUCAGCUAAAUAUACUUAUUGAGUAAUUAACCUAGUUAAAAGUGAUCCGGGUAUAAGUACGUAAGUAAAUUCUUGACAAAAUUAUCUUAAAUAUUCAAACAAUAUGGCUUCCGUCAUUAAGUUGUUCAACUGUACGUAUUGUUAACGCAAUUGGAAUUCAUCCAAUUUCACGAUUUUUAGUUUUAUCCGUCCAUUACGAAACCCCUCCAAAAUAAUGAAGACGUUGACAGUAAUGUCAGCUUUGUCAAUGGAACUGGCAUCAAAGUCAUAAAUCGUCUUCGAUAAUUCCAAAGACGUAAGGAAGAAAGACGGUCUGUUGUCUGAUGUCUCCAGGAAUGGAUAGAUAUGAGGGAGACGAAAUCCAGGAAUUAGUAAAAUUCUGCAUUCGAAACUCACUUCGGGGACAAAGGAACUUUUCUUAGAAACGUAGAGUAAUGCUAGAUUCAUAAUCUACCGCCAUAUGAACAGUUACAUGAAGAUAGUUUAAGAAACGAUUUUACAGAAAUCUUUAAAGAAUUUUAUUUAAAAUUUCCAUCAUAAUACACUUGCUGCUAAAUUUCAAGAAGUAAAUCUAAACUUAAAGACUGGAAAAUAUCUCAUAUUAAAUACUAAGCUACAUUAAAAUCCAUCCAUCCAUCCGUACACACACACACACACACACACACACACACACACACACACACACACACACACAUGAUGGUUGCAACUCAAUUUCGAGUAAUGCUAUCGCUUGAUUGUUCUUUUAAACAUGAGCAUGGAUGUAGCUUUUCAUUCCAGCCAGAGGCGUUUCGGUCCGCCUCUUGACGCACAUUCUUUUACACACUCCUUGCAAGUAGAGAUGCCGUAUUAUUCAUAGUUAAGAACUUGCCCGUAUGUGUUGCUCUGUGGUGACUUCUAAGGCUUGCCUUAUCUAGACAGACAAGCCCUAGGCAGACAAGCCUUUGGUGCGUCUUUACAUAGUUUAUAUACUUUCGCCGUGUGAUGGUGUUGGACCGUUGUUGCCAACGAUACGUUGUUUUCGUUGUACAUUACAAUUUUUUCUUGUAUUUUGGGGAGGGGCUUGGCAAAUGGCUUUACCUUGGGAUUGGAUUGGGGAGUUUAUUUUUGUGUGUUUGCUGUCGUUGUUUGUUUUGUUGAAUGUUUUGGCUUGGGGAGGGGGAGUGGGGAGCGUGUCCCUUUUUUCUUUUGCGGGUGACUGUGGUGAAUUCCAUGUCCUCACUAUCAUUGUUCGUGUCUGCCUUGAUUUCUGUUUCAACUUUCUUCUUUGGGUUUCCUUCCUUAUCGUUAUCUUCCAUGCUCUUGCUGUUCGUAGCUUUUGGGGGAGGGCCCCCACCAUCUUUUUUUUUUGGUGCAUUUGGAACGGACGUAGCCCUUCUCUCCACAUUUGAAGCACAUGGGCCUACGCUCUUCCACAGCUACCCGCAUGGAUAGCCCUCUUCUACAAACACCCUAUCGGGUAAAUUUUCGAGUGUUUCGUUUGUUGCUUGGACGACCAUUUCUAACGAAUGUCCUCUCCAGUUCACCGCUUCUUUCUUUUUCCAUUUUAGGAUCGUAAUUUCCUCCUCCACGUCAUAUACUAUCGCAGCCGCUAUCUACAUUACCUCAUACUCCACUGGGAUAUCGUCUACUGUCACUUUAGCGGUCCUGCGACCCAAGUAAGUGGGCAGCAGCAUUAUUUCAUCGUUCCUCUGCGUUUCAGUGGACACCUCAAUUGUGGCACUUCUUGCUCCUCAGCUGACGUAACGUACUAUGUUCCACGCUGGUGCCAUACUCUUCUCCACCGCUUCAUUCUUUGCCUCCGUUUUCCUUUUAUGUUGUAAACUUUAUACACCACUGUUUUUGCCUUAAUGGCUUGUACUGUCUCGGGGGCGGCAACAAUUUCAUAUCCAUUUGGUCGAUAUUUCUAGCAAAUUGAGCAACCUCGUAGAGACUCUUUCCUUGGUUUGUACCUCAAAAUAUCACUGGUGUGCGAAGUAGGUAAGCAAGACUUUACUACAUCUGACAUUACGGAGAGCGUAAUGGUAUUCAAGAAGAGAGGGACACAGAAUAAUGAUGAAAACUGUUAUUUACGCCUACCUCCACUAAAUCAAAUUAAGGGAAAUGAGAGCGGAACGUCAGUAGUUAGACAGAUUGGUAAUGGAAUGCAAGGUGUUCAUCAGUUGGAUUACAGUAAUUUAAAAAGAACAAGGUUAAUGAGUUUAUACGAAUUAUGUUACGAGUAUGCGGCGGGGAAUUGCAAGCAAAACCAAGCAGUAUUUGGGGUGACUUUAUCAGCUGUGCUACAUUGUGGGCUGUGCUGAACACAAAAAUAACUUCUCACUUCCAGAUGACUGUCUUGUAUUGCAGACAUUGCGGUGGUGGGUAAAUGACUUCCAAUUGGUGGUGGUGGACGAUUUCCGCUGGAUGUUGUAUUAUCUGUCUAUACUGCCAUAGCACAGGUACAGGUGGACUACUUCGUAACUGGUUCGAAUGAGUUAGAAGUCAACCACUGUUUCUGCCAAGGACAUUCAACAUAAGUUAGCUAACCUUCGACCUCUUAACUGACUUAAAAUACCAGAGAAUACGUGAAACAAGAAUGUUUUGUACAUUAUUUACAUUUGACGGAUGUUUGUCCCCAUCUUUUUUGUUGUUAACACAACGUUUCGGCUGAUAUACCCACCAGCCUUCAUCAGGUGUCUUGGGGAAUUUUCAAACCUGGGUUCUUAUUCCUAAGAUAUUUUUCGUUGUUGUUGUUGUUGCUAUAUUAGUGGCAAUGGAGGUUUCUGUCAUCUUUCUGCGCCAUCUGUAUCAGCCGUCUUUUUGUGUCGUUUGGUUGGUAAAAAUGCACACCGAACGGUUUUUAUAGGGGACCGGAAGUUAAAUUCUAGAAUGUUCGAGAAAACCUGCCCACGCCACUGCUUCACGUCAAUUGGUUGGUUAAUAAACCUAUCACGUUAAGCUAUGAUUGUUUUCUCGUAAUAUCUGAAUGCGUAUCCAGAGAUUCAGUUUCGCAUCACCACUACAGCCGUUUCUGGUAUUUCCUUUUCUUGUUUUGAUUUUGAAUUGUUUUGAGCGACGAAGAAGAAAAGAAAUGACGAUUCGUGCGCGGCCACAGCUCACUUUGUAAUAGUACUCAGUCAUAAAUCAGUCAGUAUCUACAGGGGUGGAGCAUCUUGAAAUCCUAAGAACGCCGAGGAAGAUGAUACGAGAUUAAGCAACAACUGAUUAUGUAAGUCGCUGAAGUGUUCAGCUUCAAUUGAAACCACCUCGCUUGAAACUUCUUGUUCAACACUUUUACCAUUUUGAUAUUAGCUUCUUUCAUUAUUCAGUGUCCUUGCCUUUUAUGGAAGUGGGAAACAGAAAUUCGUGACGUUCCUGUCUUUCUCAAACGCAUUAGCAUAAUCCUUUAUCUUAGCUGUUUGCAAAUCUUUCCUCGAUUCUUUUAAACACUUCUACGAAAACGUGUUUUGUGAAUGGUCAGAAAGCUGUGCAUUUUUAAUGCUCAAUUUUGCUGAUUCAAGCUUGAAGUGUUCCUCAACAACUGUACCAACACUAAAAAUCAAUACUACCUGAGCUAACUGCUUAGGUGUCGGUUGCUGACAAUUAAUAGAAUAUAAGCGACAACUUGGCGAGCCAUUAGAGCAUCAAAUGAAAUUCUCUGUUAUAUUUAUUCUGGUUUCGUGUGUUCUGAGUUCAAAUUUCAACCAGGUGAACUUUUUACUUUACAGUGCAGGGUGGUGAACUGGCAGAAUCAUUAGAGCGUUGGACGAGAUGACAUUUGUUCUUGUGCUCUUAAUUCAAAUCCUGUUUUGGCCGACAUGCAAGUAGGGCUUCACUUAAUACGUCGCCUGUUUAACACUAACACCUGGCCUUUGGGUAUCUUUAGCAGAAUCCACUCUGCUGCAAGAAUUUGGGUCAGGUUAUCAGUUUCAGAACACGCUUCUUUCGCAUGCCGACCAUCGUUUGAGGCUCUAUGAAGUAUCAUGGGCACUGCUUUUUCUCAUGAGCAAGCGUUAAAACCCCCCAUAAAACUCAGACAAGACAUCCAUUCAAAAAAACAGUAGCUAACAUAGUGUUAACAACUUUUAAUACUGGGAAAAUUAAAAACCAGAACUGAUUUAGUGGUGAGAAAAAGACAAUAUCAGGGAAAGACUAAUGCUAAUUAAUUAGGGCUGUGAAUUGAUAGGAUCACUUGAGCCUCAGACGAAAGUUAUUGAAGUAUUCGUUUCAGCUUGACUGAAGGGCAUUGUCAAACUAUUGUAAAAUGUGCUCUUUACAUUCUGAGUGAUCAAUCAUGUGUGGUGUUAUCUACAUCUAGCUGACAAGCUAAUGUCAUGCAAAUCAUCAUCAUCAUCGUUUAACGUCCGCUUUCCAUGCUAUCAUGAGUUGGACGGUUCGACUGGGGUCUGGGACGCCAGCAGGCUGCACCAGGCCCAGUCUGAUCUGGCAGUGUUUCUACAGCUGGAUGUCCUUCCUAACGCCAACCACUCCGUGAGUGUAGUGGGUGCUUUUUACGUGCCGCCGGCUCAGUGCCAGGUGAGGCUGGCAACGGCCACGAUCGGUUGGUGCUUUUACAUGCCACUGGCACGGAGGCCAGUCGGGGCGGUGCAAAUAAAUAAUAAAAUAAAUUACAACACAUCAAGGAAAAGUAAUAAGAAACUGUCUUCAUAUUCUCCCACCAAAAUUUCCUGACAAGCCCCUAGAGCUUGUCAAAGAAGUUGCCAGGGGUCGUUUGUAGAUCUUGAUGGCACAGGAAAAAAAGCUAUUUUAAUAAUUUCAGGUUACCUGAAUAACAAUUUCUAGUGAACAUUUUAAAAAAAUAUUCUCUGUAUUAAGAAUGUUAUCUUUCACCUAAAUUUUGUCGAACCUCUGACUAAUGUACUACAGACCUUACUAUUUCUAAUCACUCACUUACUAGAUGGUAUUGCUCUACUUUUACUAUAAGGUAGGCAGUUAAUUGAUUAAACAUCCCAACUACAUUACUGGCAGAUGUUUUAUAGAAAAUAGAAGUCAACUCAGAAGCAUGUACAGGGUACAAAAAAAAACUGAAUACUAUAAGUGGGGUGCCCCAAAGUGUUUUGUCAAAUUUUGUAUCAUGAUAUUUUAAUUAGUGAUUUCUUAACACUGAUAUAUGUUAGUAAGUAACGACAGCACUAUAGAAGUGAUGAGCUAAAAGUACCUAAAAAUGUUGACAUUACUUCAGUUUCUGCAGCAGACAUUCAGGAAGAAAGUUUUUAGCGCAUUAAAGCAUGGAAUAUAUAAAGCAAAUCUGAAAUCUUUUCUUGCAAUGAGUUCUUAAUAUAGGUGCAGGCAUGGCUGUGUGAUAAGAAGCUUGUUCCCCAACCACGUAAUUCAAGGUUCAGUCCCACUGUGUGGCACCCUGGGCAAGUGUGUUCUACUAUAGCCUCAGAUUGACCAAAGCCUUGUGAGUGGAUUUGAUAGCUGGAAACUGAAAGAAGCCUAUUGUAUAUACAUACAUAUGUGUGCGUCUUUGUGUCUGUAUUUCCCCUCACCUCACUUGACAACUGUUGUUGGUUUGUUUACAUCCCUAUAACUUAGCAGCUUGGCAAAAGAGACUGAUAGAAUAAGUACCUGGCUUAAACAAAAAAGCACUGGGGUCAAUUCAUUCAACUAAAAAUUCAAGGUGGUGCCCCAGCAUGGCCACAGUCAAACAGCUGAAACAAGUAAAAGAUAAAAGAUAUAUGCCAUCAAAUACAGGACCUACAAUUGACCAAGUUCCUGUUCUCAAGGAUACUUACCUCCCCCAGUUUUGAUGGUAUAGAAACAGCAGUUGAGCACUGGCUUCAUACAGCCCGCUGGAACUGGGUAAAGAAUGGGCCUCAUUUACUAUCUAUUACCUGUGUAUUAGUGAAGGAUAUAUUGAAUAAUGUAAAGUAUACUAGCCAUCUCAAUAUGGCUAACCACUAAAGGUGGGUGUUACUGUAGCUUUUAGCCCCAUGAGAUCAUCGUCUCCAGCUGGCUUUAAGCACACUUUCUGUGCCCUUAUGGUAUUUGCAAAGGGAGGUCAUCCCUCUCUCAUCAACCUAAGUGAUACGCACAGACUGCAGUUUCUAGGUAUUUGCUUGUCUUCGGCGUAUGGCAAUCACCAGUUUUCAAUGAAGGGAGACCGUUUGCAAAUACUUAUUUAGUUUUUCCAGUAACUUCCGUCACUGAUUUCGAAAAACUGUCUGCAAGCAAUAAUAAAUCUCUGAAAGAGAUGUAAACAGUAACCGCUCGACAACGUAAAGUAUACUCAGCCAUCUCAAUAUGGCUAACCACUAAGGGUGGGUGUUAGCAAAUACCAUAAGGGCACAGGAAGUGUACCUGAAGCCAGCUGGAGACGAUGAUCUCCUGGGGCUAAAAGCUACAGUAACACCCACCCUUAGUGGUUAGCCAUAUUGAGAUGGCUGGUAUACUUUACGUUGUCGAGCAGUUACUGUUUACAUCUCGUUCAGAGAUUUAUUAUUACAUUGAAUAAUGUAGUAAGGAAAAGACAGAGAAAUAUGGUCACAUUUGGUUGCUAUAUACCUGAUAAGGGCUCUCUGUAGGUAUGGUUUUCCUGGAACAAAGCAUUCACAGUACCAACCACUACUCAAAAUUAGUCUCAAAGUAUCUCAUUUUACCUUGGGAAAAAUAUUCAUUAGAAAUAUUAAAUUUCUAAAUAUCUCAGAGAGAGAUUUGAGUGGUGGUGGAGCAAUAGAGUGGUUGUAUGCUGUCAACUUAACGUGACAGUCCCGUAAAGGGAAUCACACCACCGCUGUUUAGCCCUAGGAAGCAUCGACGCUUCCUGUCGGCUUUGACACAUUUCCCGUGUCCUUAUAUUUGCGAAAGGGAGACAAGCACCCCCAACGGCUAGGCCUGCAUCCAGAGACAUGCAUGUUUCUGAAUCUUGUUCAUCAUCAGUCUAGAGUAGCAUGGCCUGCUAGUUGAAGAUGCUUGUAAAGCCUUCGCAAAUAUAUAUAUAUUCAGUGAAGUUUAUUCACUGAUCACCAAAAUUAGAAAUAUCAAAUUUCUAAAUAUCUCAGAGAAAUAUGAGUGGUGGUGGAAUGAUAGAGCGGUUGUAUACUGUCAACUUAAUGUGACAGUCCCGUAAAGGGAAUCACACCACCACUAUUUAGCCCUAGGAAGCAUCAACGCUUCCUGUCGGCUUUGACACAUUUCCUGUGUCGUUAUAUUUGCGAAAGGGAGACAAGCACCCCCAACAGCUAGGCCAGCAUCCAGAGACAUGAAUGUUUCUGAGUCUUGCUCAUCAUCAGUCUAGGGUAGCAUGGCCCUGCUAGCUGAAGAUGCUUGUAAAGCCUUCGCAAAUAUAUAUAUUUUCAGUGAAGUUUAUUCACUGAUCACCAAAAUUGGAAAUAUUAAAUUUCUAAAUAUCUCAGAGACAUAUGAGUGGUGGUGGUGGAGCGAUUAUUAAAUUCAUAAUUCGAUUUUGGAGAUUUCAUUUUAACUCAUUCAUUUUCCUUUCAAAAAACAGGAAAUUGUUUUGAUGGAAUUAAUUUAUAACAAUGCAAAUGACUACAGAUAUUGUAGGAACUGACAAGCAAGCUCUUCACAAAAAUGACACUUAAUGUAUUUAUUUGUAUAUUUAUUGUCCCAAAGAAUACAAAGCUCUAUGGCUGACAAUAUAUAAGAAAAUACAAAAUAGUAUAAAAAGGGAAAAUAAAAAGAAUUCUUAAAAUAAUGAAGAAUUUAAUAAACUGUUUUUGAUGAUUUGCAUAUUUCAUACAAAUUCAUGCACUCAGUCAGAAAACAAACAUAUAUAUGUAUAUGUAUAAAUAUACAUACAUGAGUACAUACAUGCAUAUAAAUAUAUAGCUAUGAUAUUAUAUAUAUACAUAUAUAUGUCACAUAAUAUGUAUAAUAUAUAUCAUAUAUGUAUAUAUAUAUAUAUAUAUAUAUAUAUAUAUAUAUCAUAUAUGUAUUAUAUAAUAUUCUAUAAUAUAUAUAUUUAUAUCAUAUAAUAUAUAUAAUAUAUAUGUCAUAUAUGUAUUAUAUAAUAUUCUAUAAUAUAUAUUAUAUAAUAUUCUAUAAUAUAUAUAUAUAUAUAUAUAUAUCUUAUAAUAUAUAUAAAAUAUAUGUAUAUAUAUAUAUAUAUAUAUAUAUAUAUAUAUAUAUAUAUAUAUAUACAUAUCAUAUAAUAUGUAUAAUAUACAUAAUAUCCUAUAAUAUAUAUAUCAUAUAAUAUGUAUAAUAUAUAUAAUAUUCUAUAGUGUAUAUAUAUAUAUAUAUACAUACAUAUAUAUAUAUAUAUAUAUAUAUAUUUGUACACACAUACAUAUGUGGUUUUUGAAAUGAGUAUAUGAAUGCAUAUAUCAAAAUGAUGUUAAAAUAAUUAUUUGUUUAUUGGUCCACAUUUUUCACUUGUUACAAAAUAUAUUAAAAUACGGAAAUAUAUAAAAUGAAAGAAAAUAUUUCUGGUAUAUAAUGAUGAAUUUCAUAAACCAUUCUUAAUGAUUCCUUGUGUAUUCCAUACAUAUUCAUACAAUCAUUCAUAAAAACUAUCAUACAGGCAUACACAUAUAUAUAUGUACUUAUAAUGUAGGUAUGUAUGUAUCUAUGUAUGUGUGCGUGUGCAUGAGUAUGUAUAUGUGCAUAUAUACAUAUAGUCAUACACCUAUGUUUUAAUUUUUUUUUAUCCCUUAUUUAAUAAUUCUUUCUUUGAUGGUAUUUUCAAUAUUUGUAAAAAUUGUAGCAUAGUCAUAUGUGUAAGAGUGUGUGUGUGAAUGUAUCGCUCGCUCUCUUUCUCUCUCUCUCUCUCUCUCUCUCAUUAUAUAUAUAUAUAUAUAUAUAUAUAUAUAUAUAUAUAUAUAUAUAUAUAUAUAUAUAUAUAUAUAUAUAUAUAUAUAUAUAUAUAUAUAUAUAUAUAUAUAUAUAUAUAUAUAUAUAUAUAUAUAUAUAUAUAUAUAUAUAUAUAUAUAUGUUUGUAUAUAUAUAUACACACUCACACACAACUAUAUAUGUAUACAUAUGUAUAAACAUAUAUUUGAUAUAUAUGUGUGUGUGCAUGUGGGUUCUGUGUGUAAGAAUGUAUAUAGGUAUAUGUACAUGUAUAUAUACAGGGUGUCCCAGAAUUAACUAUCUAUUUCAGUGAAAUUGGACAAUUUUUGGACAAUUUUUGUUAAAACUCACUUUUAUUUAUUUAUCAUGUUGAAAAUGUGUUAAAAGUGUAUAAAUUUUAAAUUUUGUUUGUAAUUUUAUAAUUCUAUUUUCGUUCCCUUUGGUCCCUGCUUAUCGGUCCAUGGCAGCUUUUUUUUUAAUUUGGCUACAAUUAGUUGCUCUACCUCCAUCCACAUGAUGGAGCAAUAGAUAAACUGAGCUCAAAGAAUACAUUCAGUCAGCAGUGCAGGAGAUAACUCCUGAAAUUCUUCAAAAUGGGUUUCAAAAUGCUAAGGAUAAAUUUGAAAUUUACAGGGAUAAAAAUAAAUCAUAUACUCUUUUACUUGUUUCAGUCAUUUGACUGUGGCCAUGCUGGAGCACUGCCUUUAGUCGAGCAUAUCGACCACCGAACUUAUUCUGUGUACUUAUUCCAUCAUUCUCUUUUGCCGAACUGCUAAGUUACGGGGACGUAAACACACCAGCAUCGGUUGUCAAGUGAUGUUGUGAGGACAAACACAGACGCACAAACAUAUACACACGCAUACAUACAUAUAUAUAUAUAUAUAUAUACACAUAUACCAUGGGCUUCUUUCAGUUUCCAUCUAUCAAAUCCACUAACAAGGCUUUGGUCGGCCCAGGGCUACAGUAGAAAACACUUGCCCAAGGUGCCACGCAGUGGGACUGAACUCAGAACCAUGGGGUUGGUAAGCAAGCUACUUACCACACAGCCACUGCUACACAUGUUGAAAAUUUUCAGUAAAGUUUUGACGAAAGAUUUACAAAUCCAUUUUGGUAUCCUAAUUAAGCAAUAAAUAUAAGGUUCUGUCAGCUUUUUAAAAUUUGCCUGAUCUCAUUGACAUAGAUGGUUAAUUCCAAGACACCCUAUAUAUGUGUGUAUGUGUAUUUGUACUUUAUUUUGCCAAUAAACAUAUGCACAGAUGGUAGUUCACAGUAAUUUUAUUGUUAAACGAUCAAUAAAUCGUUAACUAUUGAUAAGUAUGAAACUGAAGUGAGCUACAACCAGUGCAUGAGUUUAUUAACAGAAUGAGCCUUCUAAAGUUAAAAUAUGUCAGUUUCAACCAAAGAUUUCAUAUCAAAUUACUUCAAAAACAAUUCCACACUUUCACACACACACACACACACACACACACGCGUGUAUAUAUACCUACAUAGAGAUACAUGCAUAUAAUAUAUGCAUAUGUAUAUGUGUGUGUGUAUGUGUGUAUGUAUGUGUGUGUGUGUGUGUGUGUGUGCAUACGCAUGUACAUAUAUACAUGUAUAUAUAUAUGUGUAUGCACACACAUAAUAUAUACGUACAAUACCUUAAUAAAACUGGGUGUUUAUUUUGAGCAAGUACUUGAUGUGUUAUUAAUACAUUAUUAGAAGCUUGUUAUUAAACUGAAAAAGUAGGGGUCAGUUUAUGUUGCCAUGGAUUCCUUCCCUUGAUAUGUUCACUCUGUGAGAUAUUCUUCUGUAUGUCAUUUCUUUGAUUCAUUCCUUCUACUACAUCAUCGCCAUAAUAUUCUUCAUCAUCAUCAUCAUCAUCAUCCAAAGUUUUGCUGUCAACAGCAUCGUGGUUCAUCAGUGUAUAUUACUGACAGUUGUUGUAAUCAUAGUGUUCUGAUAUCAGACUCACUUUUAUCCCUAUUCUCAUCAUUAUCACCAGCACCAGUAAUCAUUACCAGUAUUGUUGUCAUCAUUUUUGUCUGUCAUCGUCAUAAUCAUCAUCACUGUUCUUAUUGAUUCCGUCAUCGUCAUCGUCUGUCUUUAUUGUCAUCAUUUUCAUUGUCAUAUGAAGUAAUAUUUUUUUCUUUUAUUUAAGUUCAUUUGUGUGUAUGUGUAUGCGUGCGUUAUGCAUGUGUGUGUGUGUGUGAAUAUAAAAAUCAUAUACAUGAAACAUGUAUAUAUGAAAUGUACAUAUGUAUUAAAUAACAUUUAAAUGUACAUGUAUAUACAUUUUAUAUCCACUCACACAUACUUAAAUAUGUAUAUGUGUGCUUAUGUGGAU
rnacentral:lncRNA from 1 species